rnacentral:rRNA from 1 species
ACUCCUACGGGAGGCAGCAGUGGGGAAUAUUGCACAAUGGGCGAAAGCCUGAUGCAGCAAUGCCGCGUGUGUGAAGAAGGCCUGCGGAUUGUAAAGCACUUUUAUCGGGAAGAAAAACCAGGGCUAAUACCCUUGGUCUUGACGGUACCCGUUUGAAUAAUGCACCGGCUAACUCCGUGCCAGCAGCCGCGGUAAUACGGAGGGUGCAAGCGUUAAUCGGAAUUACUGGGCGUAAAGCGA